rnacentral:rRNA from 1 species
AGCGAACGCUGGCGGCAGGCCUAACACAUGCAAGUCGAGCGCCCCGCAAGGGGAGCGGCAAACGGGUGAGGAAUACAUGGGAAUGUACCUUUCAGUUCGGAAUAGCCUCGGGAAACUGGGAUUAAUACCGGAUGUGCUCUACGGAGGAAAGAUUUAUCGCUGAAAGAUCAGCCCAUGCCUGAUUAGUUAGUUGGUAGGGUAAUGGCCUACCAAGACAACGAUCAGUAGCGGGUUUGAGAGGAUGAUCCGCCACACUGGGACUGAGAUACGGCCCAGACUCCUACGGGAGGCAGCAGUGAGGAAUAUUGGACAAUGGGCGCAAGCCUGAUCCAGCCAUGCCGCGUGAAUGAUGAAGGCCUUAGGGUUGUAAAGUUCUUUAAGUGGGGAAGAUAAUGACGGUACCCACAGAAUAAGCACCGGCUAACUUCGUGCCAGCCGCCGCAGUAA